GUGAGGAAUAUUGGACAAUGGGCGCAAGCCUGAUCCAGCCAUGCCGCGUGCAGGAAGACGCAUCUAUGGUGUGUAAACUGCUUUUGUACGGGAAGAAACACUCCCUCGUGAGGGAGCUUGACGGUACCGUAAGAAUAAGGAUCGGCUAACUCCGUGCCAGCAGCCGCGGUAAUACGGAGGAUCCAAUCGUUAUCCGGAAUCAUUGGGUUUAAAGGGUCCGUAGGCGGUUUAAUAAGUCAGUGGUGAAAGCCCAUCGCUCAACGAUGGAACGGCCAUUGAUACUGUUAGACUUGAAUUACAAGGAAGUAACUAGAAUAUGUAGUGUAGCGGUGAAAUGCUUAGAUAUUACAUGGAAUACCAAUUGCGAAGGCAGGUUACUACUUGUGGAUUGACGCUGAUGGACGAAAGCGUGGGGAGCGAACAGGAUUAGAAACCCUUGUAGUCC
rnacentral:rRNA from 1 species